rnacentral:rRNA from 1 species
GACGAACGCUGGCGGCGUGCCUAAUACAUGCAAGUAGAACGCACAGUUUAUACCGUAGCUUGCUACACCAUAGACUGUGAGUUGCGAACGGGUGAGUAACGCGUAGGUAACCUGCCUGGUAGCGGGGGAUAACUAUUGGAAACGAUAGCUAAUACCGCAUAAUAUUGAUUAUUGCAUGAUAAUUGAUUGAAAGAUGCUAUUGCAUCACUACCAGAUGGACCUGCGUUGUAUUAGCUAGUAGGUGAGGUAACGGCUCACCUAGGCGACGAUACAUAGCCGACCUGAGAGGGUGAUCGGCCACACUGGGACUGAGACACGGCCCAGACUCCUACGGGAGGCAGCAGUAGGGAAUCUUCGGCAAUGGAUGAAAGUCUGACCGAGCAACGCCGCGUGAGUGAAGAAGGUUUUCGGAUCGUAAAGCUCUGUUGUAAGAGAAGAACGGGUGUGAGAGUGGAAAGUUCACACUGUGACGGUAUCUUACCAGAAAGGGACGGCUAACUACGUG